UGGAAGCCGGAGACGAUGAGGCCGCAGGUGACGGCGUGGAAGCCGGAGACGAUGAGGCCGCAGGUGACGGCGUGGAAGCCGGAGACGAAGAGGCCGCAGGCGGCGGCGUGGAAGCCGGAGGCGGCGGCGCUGCAGGCGGCGGCGUGGAAGCCGGAGGCGGCGGCGCUGCAGCUGGCGGCGUAGAUGGUGAGGCUGCCGCUGGCGUGGAUGGUGAAGCUGCAGCUGGCGGCGGCGUGGAAGCCGGAGACGGAGGCGCUGCAGCUGGCGUGAAUGAAGAGGCGGCAGCUGGUGUGGAAGCUAGAGACGGAAGCGCUGCAGGCGGCGGCGUGGAAGCCGGAGACG
ensembl:lncRNA